GAAAAGCCGUUGAAGGGGAAGAGUAGGUGUACCCUGCUUUUGCAGCGAACCGGUGAGGGUGAAAGACCGGUAUAACAGGACACUGAAUGCCACCCUGGAGGUGCCUGCUGAAAGCAUUUAUUAAGUAAGCGUGGCCGGUUAAUCCGUUAUCAGAACAUAAGUUGGGCACAUAUGAGGCCAACUAGGGUGGUACCGCGGAAAAUGAUCCCGUCCCUUGA
rnacentral:ncRNA from 1 species